GAAACCAGAGUAAAAAUUCACCUGUAACAAGUUCCCUUUUUGCUAGACCAACGAACGUCUCUCCACAUGCUCAGUUCUGAGAGAUAAGGGUGUGUGAAAACCAUUCUUCACCUAGCUUGUUGAGAACUCAAAGUUUCUUUAGGUUGGAAACUACUCUGCAUACAUAUAUAUGGGGUGCUACUAGCAUCAAAUCAAUUUUACAGCAAAAACUGCAGGAUCUUCAAUCCAGAACUAGGAAAGAACAGAGAAACCAGAAUAAUAGUUUCCCUUGCAAGCCGUUCCUUUUGUGUAGAUAAUGAACGUCUGUGUACAUGCUCAGGUCUGAGAGUUCAUUGUGUGUGUAAUCCAACCUUCACUUUUCUUGCUGGGAACACAUAG